UGAUUUUCAGCGAAUUCUUCUGCAUAAAUAGUUUUGUUUUGGUCUGUACUCUCUAUUUUUUUCUGUAUUGAGGUAUGACUAUUGAAAUGAAAUAUUUCCAGAGUCAUUGUAAGUAGCACGCAGACUGAUGUGGUGCUCGUCAUGUCUUCAUUUUUCCUCUUCAGCGAUUUAGACUCACUCACUGUAAUCUGGGAGCACUGAGCAGCGUGUUUGUGUACAGAUGGUUCGAAGUCCAGGAUAUUGUGGGAUGCUUUACAGCACUUCUCGCACUGCAGUAGAUUGCUGGCGUGGUUGAGCUGAGGAGCCUUCAUAAUUUCAUAAUCUGAACAGGAAUCUCCCAGUUUCGGAGGUAUUCACGCUCCUACAAGGAUUUUUUUUAUGCGCGGCUUUGCCUUUGUGACAAAGGCUUUGUGGCGUGAAUAACGUCGAUCUCGUUAGUUUUGAUCUUGGUCACGACUAGCUCAACUGGUACUGGCAAGAAGAAUUUGCUGUCAUAUCACAUCUUGAUUUCGUCGACUGUAAUUUGGACUGAAUUAGGACUGGAGCGAUGUCCGAUCCCGCAGCUUGUUCCGUGUUGUUGUGUCCUUCUUCGGAGCAGUCGCGUUCCUUGCGCAGCGUGUGUUUCUUCGAUUUCCCGCAUCCGAACGAUCCGCGCUAUCCCGUUUGGAUUGAACGCACUCUGCGGCCAAAAGAGUGGACUCCGUCUCCGUCCAGCAAAAUCUGCAGCAGACACUUUCGUCCAUCAGAUAUCCUUGCAUUGCCCCUCGCUGACGGCUCCGGACGAACGGAGAAAAGAUUGAAAUACGAUGCGCUGCCGUGUGUUUUCGAAGGCAUUCCCGAUUCAAUGCGUCCGCAAACACAUGUUGUGCCGCGCGCAGACAGCCCCGAAAUAGUUCCUUCCACUAACUGUUCAAAAAAGCGCUCUGCCGAUUGCUUGGACGAAAGCAUCUCUGACGAAGCCGAGAAAGAAUUUAGCGACUCCCUGAAUGCUUCAACCGAAGUCCCCGACGCAUCUAAAAAUGCACAGUCGAAUGUUUCGCUCACAAUUCUAACGAUCCAAUCGAAUAACUCUACAAGCGCGAAUGUGGCUGGACCUGUUAUUUCUGCAGCCACAGUUUCAGGUGCGAAAAAGGCCAAGCUUGUUGUUUCUCCUGCCGUCAGCGCGCCGAUACCUAUCCCCAUUCGCCCCGCUUGUUCGCUGGAUACGAAGAUUAUCGACGGACGACUCACGGUGUUGGAACACUGUGCUAAGCACAUUCCCGUGGAUUAUCCUGCUCGAACGGACGCCGGCGAGGCCCGCAAGUGCUGCGUUCCCGGAUGUUCUUUCGGGCGCGAUGAUAAUCCACAGAGAAGAGUUCAAUUCCACGCAUUUCCCACGGACGAACGCUUCCGAACUGAAUGGAUCAAGCGGGUGGCGUGUUCCAGUUUCUGGCAGCCCGCCCCGUAUUCCGUCGUGUGCAGCGUUCAUUUUCUCGAAACGGAUUACGGUUUUAUUGGUAACCUUUUGUGUCUGAAGCCGACAGCGAUCCCGUCGCAACUGGGAUGCCGGAACGGAUUGAUGCGGAAGUUGAAUGGACCGUGCCCGUUCAGUCGGGUGUGUGCAAUCUGCGGAUGCUGGAGAGCGAUCAAGCAGACUACCUACUAUAAGUCCGCGUCCCAGUUGGCCUUUGUUCCGUUUCCAGAACAAGCGAAUGAGCGACUGAAGUGGUUGGCUUUCUGCCGUGAGGUUCCGUGUGCGGGUGAAUUCUACGCCUGUGAGCGGCACUUUGCCCUGGCUGACAUUCUGGCACGGUUUGAGCAGGAUAAAGAAAUGAAAUUCGAGCUGCAGCGACGUGAUGGUAUCCUGCCACAUCCCAGCCAACUGCUCGUACCGAUUCCUCUGCAGAGUCGAGCUCCGUCGCUCAUUGCUCCACGACCUUCUCCUUUGAGAGCUCCGUCGCUGAUUGCUCCACGACCUUCUCCUUUGACAGCUCCGUCGCUCAUUGCUCCACAACCUUCUCCUUCGAAUAACACAAACAACAGCCAGAAUAAGUCUUUCGCAAAUUUUUUGAACGGGGCAGUUCUACAAAGCCGAACGGUUACCGCUACUCCGUCCGCUUUAUUGAUACAUUCAGCUGCAUCUUCGGCCAGCCCGGGCGGUUUUUCGUUCUUGGUGGUGCCUAAUCAGACCGCAGCUCCGGCUGUUACUGCUCCUCUUGCGCCUCCAGUGACUAAACGGCUGACACUAGACCCUUCAAGAAAUGUGCAACCUCAAGUUGCUGUUGCUGCCCAGUCGCAUCCGCAUCCAGUUCGAUUCGAGAAAACCACAUGCGGUCAGUGUGGUUUGCGAUUCAACACAUAUUUAUCGUACAGUAUCCACGAAUAUGAACAUGGAGGCAGAGAAUUAGCCGAAUAUAUUAGAAGCAGAACCGCGUGUUCCGAUUGUGCAGAAAAAUUUGAUAGCUUCGACGCUUUGGUGGAGCACGUUAAGAUUCACGGAAGACAAACGGAAGAGUGUCCCGUUUGUAAGGGACGUUUUCGCGCGCUGAACGACCAUAUUCGACGUGAUCAUCCUGAUUGCCAGUACCGAUCGAGGAAGAGUCCGGACCGCGUUCGGAAAGAUAAUCUUCACCGGUGUGGAGAGUGUGGGAAGGUAUUCAAAACAGCUUAUGCUUUUGACAUUCAUGCCAAGGCUCACCGCGCUAGAGCCUUGUGGGCCACUCUGACGUGUAGCGACUGCGGUCUGCGCUUUAAGACGGAUGUCUUAUGCCGGUUGCAUAAAAUCCACCACGGAAAUGAAGAAUCGACGGAGCUUAUUCGUGACACACGAGAAUGUCCUGACUGUCAUCAAAUCUUUGAGAGCCAGGAGGGACUAGUUGAACAUGUUAGGGAGCACGGGAAAGCAACCGAAAAAUGCGCACUGUCCGAAGAACGGUAUAUCUCUUUGGCGAACCUUAUAAUACGUGAUCACCAAGCCCAAAAUCCACUGAAAGCAGCGGUUUUGGCAUGCUGCGUACCGGGAUGCCAGAAUGUGUGGGAGCCAGAGACACAGAUUACACGCGCAUCAAAAGUGUUGUUCUUUCGAUUCAUUGGAGCCGCUCAUCCGCGUUUUGAAACUUGGAUGCGGCGACUGCGGUACAACUCAUCCUGGGUUCCGCAUUUUCACGAGAGGGUUUGCAGUGAUCAUUUUUACGAGUCCGACAUCAGAUUCAAGAAUGGCAAAGCUUCUCUCCUGCUAACAGCGGUACCGAGUCAGUUGUCCUGUAUGAGCGCAUUAUGCGGGUUUACCGCAGCAGAUAUGGCUACCGGAGCAGUUGGUUGCGCUGUGUGUGGCCUGCGUCCGCCAGCUGACAGACAACCGAAAGCAUCAGAGAAGCUGACGUUUUUUCGCGCACCUCCGUCCGCGUUGGAUGCAUUGCGAAAGAAAUGGAUAGACUUCUGUAAUCAGCAGCGGAACGACAUCGACUGGGCAUCCAUUGGGGCGGAUACGCCGUGGUAUCUGUGUGAAAACCAUUUCGAAAUGAGGGACAGAAAAGCGACAGAAAACAUUGGCUCCCUCGCUAGUGAUACGGAAGCAGUUCCGUCAUUAUCUUAUUUUUUGGACUUGAAUUACGCUGACUCAACGCCGACGACAUCUGAUGGUGAUUUGUAUGGAAAUUCCCUGAUGCGCAUUGGCACUUUCUGUUGCGUGCCGGGAUGUGAAACUAUGUUAGAAAAAGGUGUCACCUGGUCAAAAACAUUUGUUAUGUUUCUUCCACCAGAUGAUGAACGGUAUAAUGAAUGGCUCCGGAUGGUGCGAUACAAUGCUUCCUGGAUUCCCGGGAGUCGUGCGAAAAUUUGUCGGCAACACUUCCCUGCAUCGGCAUUCGAGCUGCGAUAUCGCAAGAAAGGGUCUCCAAAGUCUGCCUGCCUACUUAAUACAGCUUUCCCCACUCAGCUUUCUUGCAUGGAAUCUUUGUGCACGUUCACACCGGCCGACAUGAUUGCGGGGAAACAAGGCUGUGCUGUGUGCGGUCUUCGUCCGUUCACGCCCAACCGCCGACUGAAACUCUCGGAGAAGCUGGAGUUCUUCCGGGCACCCUCGGGCGAAAUCAGAGAGAAAUGGGUUGAAUUCUGCACAUCACAAAGAAUGGAUAUUGACUGGUCGUUGAUUCCGGAGGAAACACCGUGGUAUCUAUGCGAAAACCAUUUCGAUGCGCAGAACAAGGCGAAAUGUGCUGAACAGACAGCAAUCCCUUCCCUUUCGUUUUCCAUGUACGUUAAUUCCGGAGCUUUAGAAGCUUUUGCUGGUCCAGACGAUGAAGGAAUCAAAAGUGCAAAGAAAAAAAGAAGGAAGCGUCUUCGUCCGCCUGCUUGCUGUGUGCCGGGAUGUCGGAUGUUCGCAUGGAACGAGCCCCUAUCGGCGCCGGUAUCCUUUCAUUAUGUCGGUCAAGGGAUCGGGUCUCGGGAUGAUUGGGCAGAUCAUAUCCGAUGUGCCGUUUCAUGGAGACCUAAGUCACGCGAUACAGUGUGCAGUCGCCAUUUCUGCCUUGGAGACUUCCGCGAAACAAGCUCCGACCAACCGCUACAAUUCCGAAAAUUGAGAGCGAACGUAGUGCCGUCUAAGCUGGAUUGUACUGCAGCGUACCGCGCUCCAAAGGAUACAGAUGCGUUAUUAGGAAGGGAAGGUGUCCAGACGUGUUGUGUGUGCGGAUGCUGGCGGCCACUGGACAAGACUGACCUAAUUCUAUCUGAGAGACUGAGCUUCUUUCCCUUUCCGGAUGACGAAAUCCUACGUGAUUCAUGGGUGACCUCUUGUCGUCAAUGGAAUCCCAAUUUGACCGUGUCGAAAGAAUCGGUUAUUUGUGAGAAUCAUUUCUCGUUGGAUGAUUUGACAUGGCUGCUGGAAGAUGGCAAAGAAGCCAGACUGGUGCCGAAGAACAGUGCUAUGCCGACAUGUGAGAGACUGCCUGUGCCUGUCAGAUUAAAUACUAACGGUGCUUUUGCAAGCAAGAAAAGUACAUCAACUAGCAGCAGGAAGAGUACAUCAGCGGCGGCAAAUGCUGAUCGCAUCACCGGCUACAAAUGCUGCGUGCCGGGAUGUGGGAAUCGUGCGCAAGUGGAAGGCAAGUUGGAGAAGAUAACCUUUCAUGUUUUUCCUGGUCUCUGCGCUUCAUCUCGCUUCUGCGAAUGGAUGAACCGGAUUCGUUGCUCGAUUUCGUGGACGCCUCACCCGCUCAAUCGAGUGUGUAGUAAGCAUUUUAGUCCUAAGGAUUUUAUGGAAGAAACGGCGAAAGGCAGGCAGCCUCGCACUAAUCUGUUGAAGAAAGAUGUGGUGCCGUCUAUAUUGCAGUGUGCUGAAAAGUUUCGAAGCCCGAUGAAUUCGGGUGAAUCGGCUGAAUUGAAUGAAGUACGCACGUGCUGUGUAUGUGGAUGGUGGCGUGCAGCCGGAGAGAAGAGUAUCCAGUCUGAAAUUCUGACAUUUUUCUCGUUUCCUGCGGAAGAUGGUCACCGCGAACAGUGGGUGAACAUUUGCCGCGAAUGGAAUCCCGAUUUCGUCUUCUCGGAAGGGUUGUUGGUGUGUGAAAAUCAUUUUCAGUUGGACGAACUGACGUGGGCGCAUGUGAGUAAGGUGAACGGGGAACUGAAACUACGAAGCGGUGCAGUUCCGUCGGAAAGAUACCUGCGUCCGCUCAGUUUUGCGGACGAUACAAGAGCUCGAGAUGACACUGCUGAAAUGGUGGCAGGAGUGCCAUUCGAUGAUCUUACUGGGUUGUCUUCGCUUAAUCCGGACGCUGAUUCGGUGGAUGGGGAUGAUAGCGAAGCUGGCAACGACACCUGCGUAUACGAAGAAAGAGACUGCAUGUCGGUGGAUGAGAAUGCAUGGAAUUACGAUGCAACGGCGGAUGAAGAGUCGCUCAUGGAAACUGACGACCCGAACGUACCCUUAAUGGACAUCACGAUUUCUAAAUGUGCUCCUCUGAGGACGACGAGAGUCGCCGAAAAUGGUCUUCCGGAAGAUGAGAGCUAUACUAACGUCGGCACCUUAUUUGACAUGCCCUCAGCGCUCCCGUUUAGCACCGACGCGCAAAUUGGGAUUACUCCCCCUCCUUCGCCCCCGCGAUGUGCCCCGGAUGAUGCUUUAGUGUAUUGCGACUGUUGUCACAAAUUUCUUCCCACUCCAUGUUGGCUACACGCAGCCAGCAUUUGUGAUGAGCCAGUUGUUCCGUUGGCCGUCGGAAGUUUGCCGAAGAUGCUUUACUUGGAUGUCUGCGAUGAUUCGCAAACUGGGAAAACAGUAUUCACGAAGGAGGUGAUUGCCCGGCACACCGUGUUUGGACCGUUAAUCGCACCACUGACGCCGGGUAACAGCGAAAAGGCGCUAUACUUUUCUGUUACGGAAGAGCAGCGCAGGUAUUACGAACUGGAAUCUGAAUACGCAUGCAACUGGAUGAAGCAUGUCCGGUUCGCGGACAGCCUGCAAAACAGCAACUUGCUGGUGUUCUCGCGCGGAUCGGAAGUGGUUUUUGUCACCAUCAAGACAAUCGCUCCGCACGAAGAACUCAAGGUCUGGUAUUCCAAGCAGUACCUGGAUAUGGUGGAAACGCACGGAAACGCUGCUGCUGAAGAUGUUAAACUGGAAAUAGACGAUGAAGUUGAGGGGACGUCUUUGCCAUUCGAUGAUUAUGGCGAAUUAGCAGAAACCGCACCUGGAGACCAUGAAGUGACUGGAAGUUGUCCAUUUGAAGCAGUUUGUGUGGCCCAUUUACCAAUGGAAAGAGUUUCAUCGUUGCCAAUGGAAAGCGUGUCAUCGUUGCCAUUGACAGUAGAUGAUGAUUAUCUGCAGAGUGACCAAAGAUCUUGUGUACGCUCAAAAACAAAUCGAACCAACAAAUCGCGAGGUUUUUUCACCAGCAAUAUUUGUUUGGAAUGCAACGUAAGGUUUCGGAGAGAGGAUAUGCUGCGUUUGCAUCAGUUCAGCCACACGGGCUACGAUGGGCAGCCUGAACGAGAGUGUCCGGAGUGUUCGAAACAUUACGAUGAUUUUCCUGCUUUACUGAAGCAUGUUGACGAGCAUGGAACGCCGCUUGUGCAGUGCCCGGUCUGCAGCGAAACGUGCAGUUUAAGCGCGAUUUUCAUGCAUCUACACCGUUAUCAUCCCGGAAUUGAACGGAGAAAGUUGUAUUUGAGGAGUUCGAUCUGCAAUAAGUGCGGCAUGCGAUUUGGCAGUAAUUUUCUUUGUCGGUUACAUCAGUUGGGUCAUCAGGACCAGGAGUGUAUCAACAGCAUAAAAAUUACGCGAAAAUGCCCGGAAUGCGGUGAGAUGUUCGAGAACCUCGAUAAACUGGCGGCGCAUGUGGAUGUGCACGGAAAGCUAACGAAGAAGUGUCCAGUUUGCAACGGUUAUUACCCUGGAAUGAAGAGACAUAUUGCACGCAGCCAUCCGCAGUUUUCAGCCGAGAGAACUUGCCCGGAAUGUGGGAAACAAUUCGCGCACGAAUCCUCCUUUGUGCCCCACAUGCGGGGCCAUCGGAUCAGAGCAUCUCUGGACAGUUGGACGUGCCGGGAAUGUCGACUGCAGUUUCCGAAAGACAGUUUAUUUGUCUUGCAUAAGAGCAGCCAUGAUACUGCAGCCUAUAACGCAACUGCCGGCGCGCAGAGAUGUUCCGAAUGCGCGGAAGAGUUUGACGGGAUGGAUGCACUGCUUGAGCAUGUUCUGACGCAUGCUGUACCCGCGGAGAACUGUCCCGAAUGCGGCCACUGGAUCGGCCGCAACCGUUUGCGUAAGCACAUGAAGAACCAGCAUCCUGCGCGAGCGCUGCCUACCCAUAUGAAGCGUCACCACUCGGCGCGUGCGCACCGAUCUGUUUUACAACAGGACGAGUCGAACGAUAGUGCAUUCGUUGACAAAGCGCACGAUGAGCUUCAUAAGAGAACGCCAGUUGAAGCGUUAGCUUGUACUGAUUGUGGGUUGCGGUUUCUGACCGAGGAUCUCCUCCACAUUCACGAAUUUAAACACACGAAAAUGAAACUUCCAUUGGCACUGGACAGUGUCCGGAGUGCAAGAAAUCCUUCGCCGUGGCGGAUGAUCUUGUGGAGCACGUACAAGCACAUGCAUCAAACACGAGGAAAUGUCCAUUGUGUGGUCGGUGGCGUGUAAAUAUGUCUCAGCACCUCAAGCAAAAGCAUCCUGAGAAUAAGAACGAAACAUACCAGUGUCCACAGUGUAGUGAACGCUUUCGGUUACGCCGCCGCUUGGAGCAGCACAUGCUGCAGAGACACGGGCAGCAGGUGCGCUUUAGGAAAACCACAUGUGCUCAGUGUGGUCUCCGAUUCAGCACGGACUUAUUAUGUCGCAUCCAUGAAUAUGGACACGGCGGCAAAGAAUUAGCAGACGAUCUACGAAACCA